rnacentral:lncRNA from 1 species
UGACUUUGUUUCCAGUUCCUGAGGCAAUGGUAUGCAUGCAAUGUGGUGGUAUAGUCUAUACUCCACACUUGCUUCAUUCCUGCAGGGAGAACAUUUUUGCAGCUGACAGAGUAAAGACAUCCCAAGCUUCCAGACUAAGAGAGAACAUAUUGGCAAGAUAAAAUACAGAUGUUUGCUGUGUUUCCUCUACUUCGUGGUUGUUCUCAGCGGAGGUUAACCUUCAUGAGUGUGUCUCUCGGACCCUGUUUGGACAGUUGGACAUAGGAUUUCACAGUAAAUUUGAAAUUGUAAAAGAUAGUUUCAAGGAAAGUAUUUCAAAAUAUUCUUAUUGAGGAAAAGCAAAGUAAAAAUUCAUGCCUCUCCUUAAACUCCCUUUUCA